UAAUCAUAACGAAAUCAUUUAUUAUCUAUAUGUAAUUAUCACAUUUACAAUCCUAGAUCUUUGUUACAAGACGUAAAAAAAUCCUUUUUCAGUACUGGCAACGAUUCUUCGUCAAUUAAUGGCAACCUAUUUUCAAAGUUAGGGUACUUCGGAUGCCACCAAUCAUACACCAAUAUAUUGACAACUGUGUCAAUGACUACGGUACAUUCUGGAAUCACAUUCUUUGAAACGUUGUAGUGGCCAGUGUUAAAGCCGAGAUGUAGACGAUGGUGUCUGAACCCUUGUGAUAGCACCACACUCACGGAUGACAACGUCAUACCCAUUAAUGGCGGUACUUCGUAGAACUGUUGGCAUCUACCUGCAAAACUUGUGAAUCCACUUCUGGAUUUGCAUCGAUUCGACCGAGUUCUUCCAUGAAGUCUAACGAUUUGGCUCUUGUAUCGGCAUUGGAUUUCUUGAGUUUGAAAUAAACAAACCAGUAUGAUUGUGCCUUACAAUACCAAACAUUGACGCACCGUCUUCGAACCAACUGAUGAGGCUGACUCUCCUGGGUCGCUUGCUGUAAUAUCUUUUUUACAAACACGUCAUAUGUGUGAUACAAUGCUCUUAUAACUCUUUGUCGUAGUCCGUACAGUUUAUAACUGUUUUCAAUACGUAACUUUUCUGGAAGCUUUGGAUUAUUUUGACAAUAUCUCUUAUAUAAUGCACGCCAAAAUGAUUCGCGUUUCGUUAUUGCAUACGUUGCUUUGUUAAUUCUAGCAAAGUUACCGACCUCCUCUGGUUUAAUGUAAGGAGAUAUUAGGUACCAGACUAUCUCUGGGUACUCUAUAGCGGUGUCAUUGUUGUCCGUCUCGGUCUUAGAGAGAUUUCUCUUUUUUUUAUACACGAAAUUCUUUGUUCCAUCUGCAUUCAAUUUCUCGAUUAUAUCGAAAUCGUCAUCCUGAAGAUCCUCCCAAGUUUUCGCAGGAACAGCCUCAGUUUCCACUGACUUUUUAACUCUGCCUACUGGUUUCGGUGCGUUUGCAGAAUCAUUUAUG
rnacentral:misc_RNA from 1 species